rnacentral:rRNA from 1 species
CCUACGGGAGGCAGCAGUGAGGAAUAUUGGUCAAUGGCCGAGAGUCUGAACCAGCCAAGUCGCGUGAAGGAUGACUGCCCUAUGGGUUGUAAACUUCUUUUAUCAAGGAAUAAAACGAGGCUCGUGAGCCUUUUUGCAUGUACUUUAUGAAUAAGGAUCGGCUAACUCCGUGCCAGCAGCCGCGGUAAUACGGAGGAUCCGAGCGUUAUCCGGAUUUAUUGGGUUUAAAGGGAGCGUAGGUGGGUUGUUAAGUCAGUUGUGAAAGUUUGCGGCUCAACCGUAGAAGUGCAAUUGAUACUGGCAGUCUUGAGUACAGUGGAGGUAGGCGGAAUUCGUGGUGUAGCGGUGAAAUGCUUAGAUAUCACGAAGAACCCCGAUUGCGAAGGCAGCUUACUAAACUGUGACUGACAUUGAUGCUCGAAAGUGUGGGUAUCGAACAGGAUUAGAUACCCUGGUAGUC